rnacentral:rRNA from 1 species
AGUGAACGCUGGCGGUAGGCCUAACACAUGCAAGUCGAACGGCAGCACAGUAAGAGCUUGCUCUUACGGGUGGCGAGUGGCGGACGGGUGAGGAAUAUAUCGGAAUCUACUUUUUCGUGGGGGAUAACGUAGGGAAACUUACGCUAAUACCGCAUACGACCUACGGGUGAAAGCAGGGGAUCUUCGGACCUUGCGCGAUUGAAUGCGCCGAUGUCGGAUUAGCUAGUUGGCGGGGUAAAGGCCCACCAAGGCGACGAUCCGUAGCUGGUCUGAGAGGAUGAUCGGCCACACUGGAACUGGGACACGGUCAAGACGACUACGGGAGGCAGCAGUGGGGAAUAGUGGACAAUGGGCGCAAGCCUGAUCCAGCCAUACCGCGUGGGUGAAGAAGGCCUUCGGGUUGUAAAGCCCUUUUGUUGGGAAAGAAAAGCAGCAGGUUAAUACCACGCUGUUCUGACGGUACCCAAAGAAUAAGCACCGGCUAACUUCGUG